CCUACGGGUAGCAGCAGUGAGGAAUAUUGGUCAAUGGGCGCGAGCCUGAACCAGCCAAGUAGCGUGAAGGAUGACUGCCCUACGGGUUGUACACUUCUUUUAUACAGGAAUAAAGUGAGGCCCGUGUGCCUUUUUGUAUGUCCUUUAUGAAUAAGGAUCGGCUAACUCCGUGCCAGCCGCCGCGGUAAUACGGAAGGUCCGAGCGUUUUCCGGAUGUUUUGGGUUUAAAGGGAGCGUAGAUGGGUUGUUAAGUCAGUUGUGAAAGUUUGCGGCUCAACCGUAAAAUUGCAAUUGAUACUGGCAGUCUUGAGUACAGAUGAGGUAGGCGGAAUUAGAGGUGUAGCGGUGAAAUGCGUAGAUAGCACGAAGAACUCCGAUUGCGAAGGCAGCUUACUAAACUGCCACUGACAUUGAUGCUCGAAAGUGUGGGUAUCAAACAGGAUUAGAUACCCUGGUAGUC
rnacentral:rRNA from 1 species